AUUGAACGCUGGCGGCAGGCCUAACACAUGCAAGUCGAGCGGAUGACGGGAGCUUGCUCCUUGAUUCAGCGGCGGACGGGUGAGUAAUGCCUAGGAAUCUGCCUGGUAGUGGGGGACAACGUUUCGAAAGGAACGCUAAUACCGCAUACGUCCUACGGGAGAAAGCAGGGGACCUUCGGGCCUUGCGCUAUCAGAUGAGCCUAGGUCGGAUUAGCGAGUUGGUGGGGUAAUGGCUCACCAAGGCGACGAUCCGUAACUGGUCUGAGAGGAUGAUCAGUCACACUGGAACUGAGACACGGUCCAGACUCCUACGGGAGGCAGCAGUGGGGAAUAUUGGACAAUGGGCGAAAGCCUGAUCCAGCCAUGCCGCGUGUGUGAAGAAGGUCUUCGGAUUGUAAAGCACUUUAAGUUGGGAGGAAGGGCAGUAAGUUAAUACCUCGCUGUUUUGACGUUACCGACAGAAUAAGCACCGGCUAACUCUGUGCCAGCAGCCGCCGCCG
rnacentral:rRNA from 1 species